GACCCGAUAGAUAGUGAACUAUGCCUGGGCAGGGCGAAGCCAGAGGGAACUCUGGUGGAGGUCUGUAGCGGUCCUGACGUGCAAAUCGGUCAUCCGACCCGGGUCUAGGGGCAAAAGACUAAUCGAACCAUCUAGUAGCUGG
rnacentral:ncRNA from 1 species